UACGUAGGGUGCGAGCGUUAAUCGGAAUUACUGGGCGUAAAGCGUGCGUAGGCGGUUCCUUAAGUCCGUUGUGAAAGCCCCGGGCUCAACCUGGGAAUGGCAGUGGAAACUAGGGGACUGGAAUCUGGCAGAGGGGGGUGGAAUGCCGCGUGUAGCAGUGAAAUGCGUAGAUAUGCGGAGGAACACCGAUGGCGAAGGCAAUCCCCUGGGCCUGCACUGACGCUCAUGCACGAAAGCGUGGGGAGCAAACAGG
rnacentral:rRNA from 1 species